rnacentral:lncRNA from 1 species
UGCAGGUUCGAGUCGCUCACGUUGUCGCACAACAACAUGAUCGCGCUCAAGCCCAUCCUGCAGGCGUGGCUGGAGGAGGCCGAGGGCGCGCAGCGUGAGAAAAUGAACAAGCCGGAGCUCUUCAACGGCGGCGAGAAGAAGCGCAAGCGGACUUCCAUCGCCGCGCCCGAGAAGCGCUCCCUCGAGGCCUAUUUUGCCGUACAACCCCGGCCCUCCUCGGAGAAGAUCGCCGCCAUCGCCGAGAAACUGGACCUCAAAAAGAACGUGGUGCGGGUGUGGUUUUGCAACCAGAGACAGAAGCAGAAGCGGAUGAAAUUCUCUGCCACUUACUGAGGAGGGUCCCUGUCUCCCUCCCUUGGAGAACAUGAAGUUGUUGAAAAGCUGAGAAGUUUCUGCUUUCAUUUGGGGGCAGGAGUCCCAUGUAAGAAAAAUCACCUAAAAUCCCAGAAGAAAGGAAGAGAUUUAAAGAUUUAAAGCC